GAUGAACGCUGGCGGCGUGCCUAAUACAUGCAAGUCGAGCGAACAGACGAGGAGCUUGCUCCUCUGACGUUAGCGGCGGACGGGUGAGUAACACGUGGAUAACCUACCUAUAAGACUGGGAUAACUUCGGGAAACCGGAGCUAAUACCGGAUAACAUGUUGAACCGCAUGGUUCAACAGUGAAAGACGGUCUUGCUGUCACUUAUAGAUGGUUCCGCGCCGCAUUAGCUAGGUGGUAAGGUAACGGCUUACCAAGGCAACGAUGCGUAGCCGACCUGAGAGGGUGAUCAGCCACCCUGGAACGGAGACACGGCCCAGACUCCAACGGGAGGAAGCAGUGGGGAAUCUUCCGCAAUGGGCGAAAGCCUGACGGAGCAACGCCGCGUGAGUGAAGAAGGUCUUCGGAUCGUAAAACUCUGUUAUUAGGGAAGAACAAAUGUGUAAGUAACUAUGCACGUCUUGACGGUACCUAAUCAGAAAGCCACGGCUAACUACGUG
rnacentral:rRNA from 1 species